ACCACCACCGGCGAACCAGUCCCACGAAGCGCUGCUCGCGGCGCGCGGCCCGGGGCACCCUCGCGCGCCGAGGGCGGCCUCCGGAGUGGCGGCGGGCGCGCGCGUCCCGGCGAGCCUUACACAGCACCCCGGCGCGGCGAGCGCCAAGGAACCGAAGCGGAAAGGGCGCGAGCCCGUCCCCGGCCGGGGGCGCGGAUCGGCCGCCCGCAUGUGAAUGUCGCGCAGACGACUCUCGGCAACGGAUAUCUCGGCUCUCGCAUCGAUGAAGAACGUAGCGAAAUGCGAUACUUGGUGUGAAUUGCAGAAUCCCGUGAACCAUCGAGUCUUUGAACGCAAGUUGCGCCCGAGGCCCCCCGGCCGAGGGCACGCCUGCCUGGGCGUCACGCCACCCAUCGCCCCCCGCGCGGCAUUCCCAUGCCCCGCCGGGGAGCGGAGACUGGCCGCCCGUGCCCGAGCCCGUCGGCGCGCGGUUGGCAGAAAAGCGAGGGCACCGUGCGGCGUGGCACGGCGUGUGGGGGUUCAGAGGCGAAUCGCCGCCGAUCGCGCGUCGCGCCGGCGCCCCGCCGCGCGCGGUGCCUCCCCUGGGACCCGGCCAGCCCGCUGCCGCGGGCGCUCGGACCGCGACCCCAGG
rnacentral:rRNA from 1 species